CGCCAAAAAUGCGUGUUUAUGCCAAAAAAAUAGAUUGGCAUGGGCUCGCUGUCUGUGCCAGCACAGUCUGGCACAGGAACGGGGAUGGAUGGAGCCCCUGUGUCCUGGGUUGGGACUGGAGGGACCCCUGUGCCCAGGGAUGGACAGACCCCCUGUGUCCAUGGAAAGGAUGGACAGACUCCCUGUCCAUGGACAGGAUGGACAGACCCCCUUGUCCAUGGACAGGAUGGACAGACCCCCUGUGUCCAUGGAAAGGAUGGACAGACUCCCUGUCCAAGGAAAGGAUGGACAGACUCCCUGUCCAUGGACAGGACGGACAGACUCCCUGUGCCCAAGGAUGGACAGACUCCCUGUCCAUGCACAGGACGGACAGACUCCCUGUCCAUGGAAAGGAUGGACAGACUCCCUGUCCAUGCACAGGACGGACAGACUCCCUGUCCAUGGAAAGGAUGGACAGACUCCCUGUCCAUGGACAGGACGGACAGACUCCUGUGUCUUUCCAAGCAGGAAUUACAAAGCCCUGCAG
rnacentral:lncRNA from 1 species